GACGAACGCUGGCGGCGUGCUUAACACAUGCAAGUCGAACGGAAAGGCCUGCUUUCCCUUGUGGAUUGCGGGUACUCGAGUGGCGAACGGGUGAGUAACACGUGAGUGAUCUGCCCCCAACUUGGGUAUAAGCCUGGGAAACUGGGUCUAAUUCCCGAUAGGACUGCAGGGUGGUGCCUGUGGUGGAAAACGAUUUUCUAGUGGUUGGGGAUGAGCUCGCGGCCUAUCAGCUUGUUGGUGGGGUAAUGGCCUACCAAGGCGGCGACGGGUAGCCGGCCUGAGAGGGUGGACGGCCAAAUUGGGACUGAGAUACGGCCCAGACUCCUACGGGAGGCAGCAGUGGGGAAUAUUGCACAAUGGGCGGAAGCCUGAUGCAGCGACGCCGCGUGGGGGAUGACGGCCUUCGGGUUGUAAACUCCUUUCGACCGCGAGGAAGCCACCUGGUUGGAAGGGUGGUGACGGUAGUGGUAGAAGAAGCACCGGCUAACUACGUG
rnacentral:rRNA from 1 species